GUCAUAAUGUUGAUAAAAUAAUAAUGAAAAGAUAACAGUAGUCGACAAAGAAAAAAAAAAAUGUUAUAUAUACUAUCACUCUUAUCUGUAUCUUCCAUAAGUCAUAACUGGAUUUAGAGUUUAAAAAAAAAAAAAACACCGAUACUAUGGAUCAUAACCUUAUUAAGUAUCGCCUAUACGUGGUUAGUGAAUACGGGAGCGAAGAUUAUGAUAUUAUAUAUUGUGUACGCAGAUAUAGGGGAAGAUCGUUUUGGAUUCUGGGCGUUAAAGUGUCGGGAAUUUUUUAUUUUUUCGUCCGACGCGGUCUGAACUAUUUUUUCCACUGAGAGAC